rnacentral:telomerase_RNA from 1 species
UCCCCUCCAAACAUCCAAUACCAACAUCACCAAUCGCCUCACAAUGUCCGAAAGGAACCGCCUUCGACCAAAACAUAUCGAUUCAAUGACCUCGUCAGAGACGCAGCAUCUGACAAUCCAACAUCGAGAUAUACAGCCUCAACAAACAGCCCUGGCAUCACUGUAUCGGCCGGACCAAGCUCUUUCACCACUCUACAAACGCACGGCGCCUCCUCCACAGUUCUCCGACUCUGGUUUUCCGCAAGGAAUGCUCCUCCGGGGCCACCUCACUGGGUUCUGGACUGUCGGCAGUACGUCGCAGCUUCGAUCCUGUAUCAGGAACCUCCAAGCCUGCCGCGCAGGGAUUACUGCGGCCAUCGCUUUGGCGUCAGUCCCGCGAGGUGAAUCAGCUUCGGAACUUAACCCUAAGUUUUUAUUUGGUCAACAAGUCUUGCGCUUCAACAGUCAUUCAAACCGUCUUCUAAGCCUGCGCUCUCUGACGUGAAGUCGGUCGCUGAAAAGCGAUGCGGAUGCACCUGAUAGGGGCAAUGCGGGCCGACCGGCGGGGCGAUCUUCCAGACACCUUUUGGUGGGCGACGUCAGUUCCUAUGAGUCCACAUGGUAAGGGCCUCGAUAUGAGGUCGCUCGUCAGGAACUUGGCUCUGGGGUAUUUUGGCUCUGGUCACGAUGGAUGUUCUGGUUUGGUGUCCAGCUGCUUGGCGGGUGUGGGGACUGCCUUGUCGGCUUCGGCCAGCAUGCUCUUUUGGUUGCUGUGCAGCUUCGAAGUGAGAGGGAGAGCGCAGUCUGGCUUCGUACGGUCAUCUACAUUGGGGUUUCACAUCUUCUCGUCCGCAACUCACCUCGCCGGAAUCAUCGCAAGAUGAGCGAGGGCUGUUGGACUACAUACGGAGACCCCAAUGAUGACAUUUCCGCCAGACUAUCACGCUCUCGGUACCCUCGAUCUUCAUCUUCUCUCUGCAUGCGUACGAACCCACCCAAGACAGCCCGACCCCCAGGACCACGUUGCGGCAGAUCUGCUCGGCGUGUCUGUGAACUUCAUAGUAUCCGACUAGGCGCAUUAACUCGCCCUCGUACGGCUUUGUCCUACGUCCGGCGACGACGCCAAACAACCGUGUCUUUGACGCAACCUUCCUUCGACUGUGUGUCCUGAAAAGGGCAUAUCGGUUGGAGACGACAGCGCGGUUUUUAAGGAUGUCUUUUGUCCGCGCGUUAAUGCCCUCCUUAGCCCGCCACUUAUGGUACUGGAUGGAGAGGAAUCAAAAACUAGUCCCUGUUGGCAGUGCGAUACACACGGAAAGAGCUUGUCCGGUUCGGUCUUGGGUAUUCGGGUUCCUGCGAGUUUUGGCUGCCGAUUUUGACAUUUGCUGCAUCGAUGACGACGAGGUUCGGCUGCUGGAUUGAUUUGCGGAGAUCUGGGUACUCUUUUUGUGAGGGUGUGGUGUCUGGGAGGUGGCCGGUCAACUGGUUUGGACUGAAUGCUUCGAACUUGGGGGUCUUGGUUGAAGGGUGGGUGGAGGGAGAGGGGAUCAGUUGCCGGGACCCAUCUAGAGUUGGAGUCAAAGUUUCGUACUUGUCUGGUCUCUGGUUUCUUCUUUCUUUGCUUGUCUGGAUCCUUGGUUUCUCGGGGAAGGGCUGCUGGUGUUCUUGGUUGGCUGGCAAGAUGUGGCUUAUCUUUGGAACAGGGACAACCUCGAAAGAGGUGGUCCUGGUCGUCCUCCCCGCUGAAAAGUUGGGAGGGCGGCCCCUCGGAGACGAGG